rnacentral:rRNA from 1 species
AUUGAACGCUGGCGGUAUGCUUAACACAUGCAAGUCGAACGAUGAGAAAGAGCUUGCUCUUUCGAUUAGUGGCGGACGGGUGCGUAACGCGUAGGAAUCUACCUAUUAGUGGGGGACAACUUAGGGAAACUUAAGCUAAUACCGCAUACGACCUGAGGGUGAAAGUGGGGGACCGCAAGGCCUCAUGCUAUAGGAGCGGCCGAUGUCUGAUUAGCUAGUUGGUGGGGUAAAGGCCUACCAAGGCGACGAUCAGUAGCUGGUCUGAGAGGACGAUCAGCCACACUGGGACUGAGACACGGCCCAGACUCCUACGGGAGGCAGCGGUGGGGAAUUUUGGACAAUGGGCGAAAGCCUGAUCCAGCAAUGCCGCGUGUGUGAAGAAGGCCUUCGGGUUGUAAAGCACUUUUGUCCGGAAAGAAAUGGCUCUGGUUAAUACCUGGGGUCGAUGACGGUACCGGAAGAAUAAGGACCGGCUAACUACGUGCCAGCCGCCGCUGUAA